rnacentral:rRNA from 1 species
UUAAGCGACUAAGCGUACACGGUGGAUGCCCUGGCAGUCAGAGGCGAUGAAGGACGUGCUAAUCUGCGAAAAGCGUCGGUAAGGUGAUAUGAACCGUUAUAACCGGCGAUGUCCGAAUGGGGAAACCCAGUGCAAUUCGUUGCACUAUCGUUAACUGAAUACAUAGGUUAACGAGGCGAACCGGGGGAACUGAAACAUCUAAGUACCCCGAGGAAAAGAAAUCAACCGAGAUUCCCCCAGUAGCGGCGAGCGAACGGGGAGCAGCCCAGAGUCUGAAUCAGCUUGUGUGUUAGUGGAACGGUCUGGAAAGUCCGACGGUACAGGGUGAUAGUCCCGUACACCAAAAUGCACAGGCUGUGAACUCGAAGAGUAGGGCGGGACACGUGGUAUCCUGUCUGAAUAUGGGGGGACCAUCCUCCAAGGCUAAAUACUCCUGACUGACCGAUAGUGAACCAGUACCGUGAGGGAAAGGCGAAAAGAACCCCGGCGAGGGGAGUGAAAAAGAACCUGAAACCGUGUACGUACAAGCAGUGGGAGCACCUUCGGGUGUGACUGCGUACCUUUUGUAUAAUGGGUCAGCGACUUAUAUUCUGUAGCAAGGUUAACCGUAUAGGGGAGCCGCAGGGAAACCGAGUCUUAACUGGGCGUUAAGUUGCAGGGUAUAGACCCGAAACCCGGUGAUCUAGCCAUGGGCAGGUUGAAGGUUGGGUAACACUAACUGGAGGACCGAACCGACUAAUGUUGAAAAAUUAGCGGAUGACUUGUGGCUGGGGGGGAAAGGCCAAUCAAACCGGGAGAUAGCUGGUUCUCCCCGAAAGCUAUUUAGGUAGCGCCUCGUGAACUCAUCUUCGGGGGUAGAGCACUGUUUCGGCUAGGGGGUCAUCCCGACUUACCAACCCGAUGCAAACUACGAAUACCGAAGAAUGUUAUCACGGGAGACACACGGCGGGUGCUAACGUCCGUCGUGAAGAGGGAAACAACCCAGACCGCCAGCUAAGGUCCCAAAGUCAUGGUUAAGUGGGAAACGAUGUGGGAAGGCACAGACAGCCAGGAUGUUGGCUUAGAAGCAGCCAUCAUUUAAAGAAAGCGUAAUAGCUCACUGGUCGAGUCGGCCUGCGCGGAAGAUGUAACGGGGCUAAACCAUGCACCGAAGCUGCGGCAGCGACACUAUGUGUUGUUGGGUAGGGGAGCGUUCUGUAAGCCUGCGAAGGUGUGCUGUGAGGCAUGCUGGAGGUAUCAGAAGUGCGAAUGCUGACAUAAGUAACGAUAAAGCGGGUGAAAAGCCCGCUCGCCGGAAGACCAAGGGUUCCUGUCCAACGUUAAUCGGGGCAGGGUGAGUCGACCCCUAAGGCGAGGCCGAAAGGCGUAGUCGAUGGGAAACAGGUUAAUAUUCCUGUACUUGGUGUUACUGCGAAGGGGGGACGGAGAAGGCUAUGUUAGCCGGGCGACGGUUGUCCCGGUUUAAGCAUGUAGGCUGGUUAUCCAGGCAAAUCCGGAUAAUCAAGGCUGAGGUGUGAUGACGAGGCACUACGGUGCUGAAGUAACAAAUGCCCUGCUUCCAGGAAAAGCCUCUAAGCAUCAGGUAACAUCAAAUCGUACCCCAAACCGACACAGGUGGUCAGGUAGAGAAUACCAAGGCGCUUGAGAGAACUCGGGUGAAGGAACUAGGCAAAAUGGUGCCGUAACUUCGGGAGAAGGCACGCUGGUGUGUAGGUGAAGUCCCUGCGGAUGGAGCUGAGACCAGUCGAAGAUACCAGCUGGCUGCAACUGUUUAUUAAAAACACAGCACUGUGCAAACACGAAAGUGGACGUAUACGGUGUGACGCCUGCCCGGUGCCGGAAGGUUAAUUGAUGGGGUUAUCCGUAAGGAGAAGCUCUUGAUCGAAGCCCCGGUAAACGGCGGCCGUAACUAUAACGGUCCUAAGGUAGCGAAAUUCCUUGUCGGGUAAGUUCCGACCUGCACGAAUGGCGUAAUGAUGGCCAGGCUGUCUCCACCCGAGACUCAGUGAAAUUGAACUCGCUGUGAAGAUGCAGUGUACCCGCGGCAAGACGGAAAGACCCCGUGAACCUUUACUAUAGCUUGACACUGAACAUUGAGCCUUGAUGUGUAGGAUAGGUGGGAGGCUUUGAAGCGUGGACGCCAGUCUGCGUGGAGCCAACCUUGAAAUACCACCCUUUAAUGUUUGAUGUUCUAACGUUGGCCCCUGACCGGGGUUGCGGACAGUGUCUGGUGGGUAGUUUGACUGGGGCGGUCUCCUCCCAAAGCGUAACGGAGGAGCACGAAGGUUAGCUAAUCCUGGUCGGACAUCAGGAGGUUAGUGCAAUGGCAUAAGCUAGCUUGACUGCGAGCGUGACGGCGCGAGCAGGUGCGAAAGCAGGUCAUAGUGAUCCGGUGGUUCUGAAUGGAAGGGCCAUCGCUCAACGGAUAAAAGGUACUCCGGGGAUAACAGGCUGAUACCGCCCAAGAGUUCAUAUCGACGGCGGUGUUUGGCACCUCGAUGUCGGCUCAUCACAUCCUGGGGCUGAAGUAGGUCCCAAGGGUAUGGCUGUUCGCCAUUUAAAGUGGUACGCGAGCUGGGUUUAGAACGUCGUGAGACAGUUCGGUCCCUAUCUGCCGUGGGCGCUGGAGAAUUGAGGGGGGCUGCUCCUAGUACGAGAGGACCGGAGUGGACGCAUCACUGGUGUUCGGGUUGUCAUGCCAAUGGCACUGCCCGGUAGCUAAAUGCGGAAGAGAUAAGUGCUGAAAGCAUCUAAGCACGAAACUUGCCCCGAGAUGAGUUCUCCCUGAGACU